ACGCGAAGAACCUUACCCAGACUUGACAUGCAGUGGACGAUGGUAGAAAUAUCAUUUCCCUUCGGGGCCGCUGCACAGGUGCUGCAUGGCUGUCGUCAGCUCGUGCCGUGAGGUGUUGGGUUAAGUCCCGCAACGAGCGCAACCCUUAUUGUUAGUUGCCAACACGUAAUGGUGGGAACUCUAGCAAGACUGCCUGGGUUAACCAGGAGGAAGGUGAGGAUGACGUCAAGUCCGCAUGGCCCUUAUUUGGGGCGCCAANCACGUGCUAAAAUGGUCGGUACAGAAGGACAAUCNCCAGNAGGUAGAGCAAAUCCGUAAAGCCGGCCCCAGUUCAGAUUGUAGUCUGCAACUCGACUACAUGAAGAUGGAAUUGCUAGUAAUGGCGAGUCAGCAACAUCGCCGUGAAUACGUUCUCGGGUCUUGUACACACCG
rnacentral:rRNA from 1 species